AGACCAAGAUCAGUAGAAAGUGUUUAUUGAAAACACACAAGAACUGUUCAAAUACAUGCUCUGAGUCACAUCCUAAAAACUAACAUGCCAACCACUAAAACAGCAAAAAUAUGAAAUAAAGAUGAACAAAUAAUAUGCAGCAAAAACAAAAGCAGCUUUGGAUGCAUAGCAUUUUCAUAAUCGUAGUUGUAAUCAAACCUCUUGUGAGGUGUUGUUCAUGUGUAAAUCUUCCAUCCUUCACAGUGAAACCUGUUGUUUGAGAGAUCAGGUUAAAGGUUUUUUAAUAUCUACAAACAUUGUUUAAGUGAUAUCACGACAACUGCAAGUGGAAGUUUUUAUCUUCUCUACAUAGAAGAAAAAAUAAUGUCACAAACUUUACCUUUGAAAGCUGCAACACCUGAAUGAGUUCACUACACCAGCGUCUGAUGUGUCGUCCUCUGCAUCCAAACAGUCUGCAGUAAAUAUGCUAAGUGAUGACAUGCAGGAAGUUUCUGAUAAUCUACAGCUCCUCUGAUAAGAGGAAGUGACAAACAAGAAGUCAGUCAUGAAUAUGCAUUAGUCCCUCCUGCAGUGGAAACAUUUCAGAAAUUAUCUGUUUCUGGUCAAGUGCUUGCUCAUUCUGUUGUGGUUCAAGUCAAGCAUGAGAAAUAUGAUGAGCUGGAAUGGUUGACAUACACAGUAUGGUUAUUGUACUUGAGUAUCCUGUCAUGACAGCCUAGGCGUAAGUAUCACAAGAGCACCGGGGCCCAGAAGCUGUCGUCUGCAUCAGGAUCAACAACAGUUGUACUCUGCUUGUCCUGGUUUUGAAUGUGACCUGGUUUCACUGCAAAACGUCCAUUAACAUUUCUUCAACCACUCAGCACUACAGCAGACUCCCCUCGCUGUUAGCGUGACUUCACACAGGAUGAGGCGUUGCAGCAAGUCGUAGCAGGGUUGUCCGGUGGUCGUGUGGAGGUGAGGGGAGCUGAGGUGGGUUGCUGUGGGCGUGUCUAUAAGUUGCUGUGGGCGUGUCUAUAAGUUGCUGUGGGCGUGUCUAUAAGUGCUGAAUGUAACCGCUGUGAAACAAUCAGGAAAUAACUUGUUAUUUUGCUGAUUGUGAGCAAGUGACAGAAGCAAAACACAUCCAGAAACUGCUCGGGGAUCAAGGGGUUAAAUCUGCAUUAAAAAAAAAAAGAUCCAAAACCUUAAAUUGCACAUCAACUGCAUGGGCAGAGCUGGUAGCAGAGCAGCAGUCUGAUACCUCCAUUAAGGGGCCGUGAGAAACUGCAAUGACAAUCAGCUGGUGAGGAAGUAGAUGUGUUGUGGUGAGAGACGUGUGAGGAAAAAAACUAUUUCUGUGCUACCAGCCACCUUCUGUGUUCUGGCUUGGUUUAUUUCAUCUACUCAGCUUCUCUGUCUGUGUCUGGCUUGAAGUUUAUGCUGCAAAGUAGUGACAUGAAGAAGUUUCAGCCACAGCUGCCCCCCUGAACCCCACACACUGAUGGACAACCCUGUGGUGAUUCGGCACAAUGCCUGACUUGGUCUGAGUACGGCCUACUUUUACUCCCUCUUCAUUUUUAUGUGCAACAGGACAUGACGCAAUCACUCCAUGUUGCUGAUAUUUGUUGUUUAUGUGACUGUGCUGUGAAAUAAUACCAGCAGCAGAGACAGAGGGCGCAGCUUGACUGCAGUGAGUGCAUGGAAAUGAAUGAAGGGUAGUUUCUGACAGGAGAGUGCAUCAUUUACAACACUGUUGAAUGCUCAUGCAUGUAACCCUCGGCGUACUAUGUGCACCUUUAAUUCUCAAGACGUUUCAAUAUGGUGGGAGAUACAUCUCAGAAUAAACACUGUCUAGGGCAGGGGUGUCAAACUGAUAAAACAAGACAAACACAGCACAUCAGUUUAACUUUGUAUUAUGAAUGAAAUAAAGAAGUUUUUAACAUGUAUCGAAAAUACCACGAGCCCGGGCAUGAAAAAAAAAACAACAUAACCACUGGGGGAAAAAAAACCCGGAUACUGAGUGCGCUCUUUUGUUCAGUAGGUUUAGUUUAGUUAUGCAAGCUUGCAAUAAUUAUAGUUGGAGCUCGUGAGGAAAACACAGAUCUGCUCCGGUCAUAGAAUAAAAAACCUCAGGCGUCCUCCUGGUCCCGGCACAGCACAGCACGACCCCCUGGAUCCGCAGCAAGUCCACCACCGCUGACGAAGCUCCUCCCGGCUGCAGUCUCGUCUGCAAAGAGGCAGGGCCGACGUCUCUCCAGAACAGAGACUCCGGCCAGCUGGAUUCACCGGACU